AGCUGGUCCAAAGGUAGUGAGUUAUCUCAAUUGAUUGUGCACAGUCAACUACAAAUUGAACUGCUUGUUUGAUCUACCCUUUCCCCACUUCUAAACUACUACAAUUCACUAGUCUAAA
ensembl:misc_RNA Y_RNA Y RNA